rnacentral:rRNA from 1 species
UACAGAGGUCUCAAGCGUUGUUCGGAUUCAUUGGGCGUAAAGGGUGCGUAGGCGGCGCGGUAAGUCGGGUGUGAAAUCUCGGAGCUUAACUCCAGAACUGCCUUUGAUACUGGGAAGCUUGAGUCCGGAAGAGGUGAGUGGAACUGCGAGUGUAGAGGUGAAAUUCGUAGAUAUUCGCAAGAACACCAGUGGCGAAGGCGGCUCACUGGUCCGGUACUGACGCUGAGGUGCGAAAGCGUGGGGAGCAAACAGG